CGAAGGGAUUGGUAGGCCAAUUCCAAGUUAAUGCUCAGUAAUUUCCUUCGAUUCGCUUCGAUUUCUUCAUUGCAAUUUUCCCUUGUCACAAUGUACAUUUCAUGUCGUCGUUUAUCGUUUCUUAUACUUUCGUACUCUGGUGGUCGAUUUUGAGUUCUUGUUUUAUUAAAUUCGCUUCAUACAAUUUUAUGGCCAGAAAAAGUCAAAUGUGCUUGUAUUAUCAAAAUUACUAAAUGGAACUAUAAGCGAAUAUAAAAAAAUUAUUGUAGAAAAAGAGGAAAAUUUAUAAUUUAUUAAAAGUGUGAAAUAUUUGUAAAUUUUAUUGUUUUCAUGUGAUUAGAAUAGAAAAGUAUUGAAAAAAUACAUUUAAAAGUGAAAUCCGCCCCAAUUUUACCUGAAACAACGAUUUCAAACGACUCUUACUGCGCAGUCGACAGAGAUACAAGCGCUAAGGUUGACGCUGACGUUGCUUGUGACGACAGUUACGGUUUUGGUGAAAAAGUGCAGUGUACCUGAAUGCCCUUUACACCCGUAUUUUCUGUGGAUCCCGCUGCUGCGUUCCUUCUUGCUUGAAUUUGGCAACAGAUUUGUGCUUUCGUUUCGUCGGCGCAAAUCGAAUCGUCAAAGGUACACUGCGUAAUACUCGAGAAGCGAACAGACACGAGCUUCCCAGCAUCAGCAGUCAGUGCGUUUACAAUUUAGAAGAAAAUAUAAAGCAAACAUUAAAUUAAAAAAUACCAAUUAAAAGCGAUGAAAGUAAAGCAGACUAACUGUCUAUAGUUUCAGCAUCAGCUGAAAUAACAUCAUCCAGAUUCAAGACAACACUAAUAAACAGUAGACGAAGAGUUUUAGCGGAAAGGAGUGUCUCUGACACCCCCCUUAGUGGUGUAUUUCAAAGUCUAUAGUUGGUAUAUCCAACUGAAUUGCACAACACGAGGUAAACGUGCACAAGCUGACGCUGACAGUUUCGAGAUGGCUUGUUUGAACACAUUAAAAUUGGAAAUAAAAACACUGGAAAAAAUAUUUAACAAAAACCACGAGCGCUUUCAGAUACUGAAUUCCAGUGUCGACGAAUUGACAUGUCGCUUCAUUGGCAAAAAUGGGAAGCGAUAUGAUAUUCAUGCAAAUAUUACGGAAACGUAUCCAUCCUCGCCGCCCGUUUGGUUCGCAGAGAGUGAAGAGACAAGCGUAACAAAUGCCGUACAAAUACUUAGCAAUACGAAUGGACGUGAUAAUCAUGUUAUAAAUCAGGUUGGCAUAUUACUACGUGAACUGUGCCGCCUGCACAAUGUCCCACUGCCACCCGAUAUCGAUAACCUCACAAUACCGUUUCAAUUGCCACCCCCAAGUGCGUCACCAUUGCAUCAGCAGCCGGCAGCGCAGCAUCAGAUCGAGGACAUCGAUUCGGAUCAAGAUGAUGUAGAAGAUCUUAUAUGCGAGAGCGAGCAGGAGAGUGAGGGCGACGAGGAUCUACCAUUGGAAAUGGACGACGGACGCAGCGCGAAUAAAGUUGAGAAGGAUGAAAUGGAAGUGGAACAUCUGGCCACAUUAGAAAGACUACGACAAAGUCAAAGACAAGACUAUUUAAAGGGUUCUGUUUCUGGAUCCGUUCAAGCAACCGAUCGUCUCAUGAAAGAGCUACGUGACAUCUACCGUUCCGAUUCUUUUAAAAGUAAUAUGUACUCCAUAGAGUUAGUAAACGAUUCGAUAUACGAGUGGAAUAUACGCCUGAAAUCUGUUGAUCCUGACAGCCCGCUACACAACGACUUGGUCAUGCUCAAAGAGAAGGAAGGAAAAGACAGCAUAUUGCUGAAUAUUAUUUUCAAAGAAACCUAUCCAUUUGAGCCGCCAUUUGUACGAGUAGUGCAUCCUAUAAUAUCGGGUGGCUAUGUACUCGUAGGCGGUGCCAUAUGUAUGGAACUGCUGACAAAACAGGGCUGGAGCUCCGCUUACACUGUGGAAGCUGUCAUCAUGCAAAUUGCCGCAACCCUCGUGAAGGGUAAAGCCAGAAUACAAUUUGGCGCUACAAAGGCAUUAUCGCAGGGUCAGUACAGCUUGGCGCGUGCACAGCAGAGCUUUAAAUCCCUGGUGCAAAUACAUGAGAAAAAUGGGUGGUUCACACCGCCAAAAGAAGAUGGCUAAAAACGCAUUAACGGCAUCGUCUCCUUCUCUACCCUAAAUAGCGAGUAAUUCAUGCAUAUUGAUAUACAUUUUUAUCAUUUCCUUGGUUAAAAAAAAAACAAAAAAACGCAAAAUAAUUAUAUCUUAUAAAUAUACUUAAAUUAUAGUUGAUAUAAAAUGCAAACAAAUCUAUCCAUGUAUACAUAAAAGGCACUAAACAUAUAAGAGGACUAGAAAAAGAAAGCGCAAAUAUUACUAGCAUAGUUCUAAAACCACUUUGUAAAUCAACACAACUGGAACAGUAACAUAUUUACUUGGUAAAUGACCACAUGCGAAGUGUAUGAGAAUCCAAUACUAGACAUUUGUAUAUGAACUGAAGGUUUUUGAACACAGGAUAUAUUCGUUUACCAUUUGUCAAAAGACCGUAUGCUAUUAAGCUAUUUUACGUAUGUACUUAUGUAUGUAAAUGCAUGUCUAAACUAAAUGUGUGUCUAAUUUGGGUGUAAAAAUAAGCGUCUACAUUAAUGAAGAACAACUAUGCCAGGCCUUGUUGCAGUUGGGAAAAGAAAAAUUUGCAUAAAUUAAAUAUUUAGUUGUAUUUAUACAGAUGUGUCGGAUAUGUUUAGUUCCAAUUACACUCGGAUAGAAGAGAGAAUUUAUGUUCCGCAAAAUUUAACGCACUACCGUAGGUUAGGGAUGUAUAUUAUAAUACCAAACGUUUGUGGAAAUAUUUAUUUAAAUAGUUUUAAAAAUAUAAAAUAAUAAAGUAUGUAAUUACAAAAU
rnacentral:misc_RNA from 1 species